GGACUAUGUCAUUAAAUCUUUGAGUAAUAUUCUUCCCUCUCUUUUUUUAUAGAUUUGGAGACCAGAGACUUGGUUCUUGACCAAACAGUGACAGGGAUUUUGGGGGAGGAGGUCUACUUGCGUUGUCUGUACACUGGACAGAGUAACAUCUUGUACUCCUCCUGGAACCGUUUUGAUUCUACAAAGAAGGCAAAGAAAAUGGCAGGCUAUAAAUCCAGUGCCAGUUUUUUCAACAGAGAAAACUUUGGCAUCCCGGCAUCAAUUACAAACCUUACUGUAAAGAUAAAUGUGACAAGUUUUGAUCAAGAGGGAGAAUACACUUGUGGCUUCGACUCUGAAGAGGAUGAAACAAAGGACACCAUGUUUCUCAGUGUUAUUGCUCGGCCUGAUGUUGACAUAACUGUGAAAGAGGAAGUUGUGAAUAGGACCCUCUACCAUGCUGUCACUUGCUCUGCCUCCGGUGCCAAGCCUGAGGCUGUGAUUAGAUGGGAGAUCUCUGGUGCCCUUCCAAGAGACGACAUCUUCUCUGUGAACAUGAUUAAUCCAGUUCAUCCCAAUGGCACAGCCAGUUCAAUCAGUGUACUUCGCUUCCCCCUAAUUAUGAAUAAUGAGAGCACUGUUACCUGUGUGGUUGAGCAUCCAGCUUUUACUGAACCCAAAAGAGCCAACAUAGAGGUGGACACAUUUGUUUAUCCUGUUAUAAGCAUGGAGACCUUCCUGGUCCAAGAAGAAGGAGAAGACUUUCAAGAGGUCAUCUGUACAGCAACAGGAGGGAGGCCACAUCCAAAUAUCACGUGGAUACUGCCUGAAUUCAAAAACAUGCCACCUUUAGAGAGAAAUGUCUCCAAACCAGAUUCAGUUAUCAGUUCAUAUAGGUUCCCAUCAGAUCCUUAUGAAGGAGAAAAUAUAUUUUGUGUCUUUAGCUACAUGUUUCUCCCAUUCAUAAACAAAAGGACAUUCACUUUGCCAAUUUACUACCUUUCCUCACUUCAGCUGAAGGACCUUGAUUAUGCCAUUAACCGUGAGAAUCAGACUUCACUGGCGCUUGUGGAGGGGGACACGGACAUUACAAUCAGGAUGGAUGUUUUGGGCAAUGUACCAAGUUAUAAAAUGAAAUGUUCCAGGGAAGACCAACCUCUCCCUGAGGAUGUGGAUGUGGUUGGCAGUGAUCUCUUUAUCAGAGGACCCAUACAGCUGCACCUUGUCGGACAAUAUCUCUGUCAGGCCUCUUACCGUAGACAUCAGGCUUCCUUGCAGUUCACAAUCAAAGUAAAUCCAAAAGUCCUACUGCCAGUGACAUUUCCCCCAAAUAUCAGUGUGAAUUUUGUAGAGAAUUCAGACUAUGUUCACAUUGAGUGUUUGGCCUCCAAUGCUGUUCCCGCUGCAAAUGUGUCCUGGAUUCUUCCACAAGAGAUUAAUAGUACAAUUCAUUCUGAAGACACACACUAUAAUGGAUCUUGUUCUGUCAGAAGUGUGUUGACUGUGCCUAGCUGCAUGACCCGUAAAUAUGCAGUUGAGUGCGUAGUCGACCAUCCUGACUUCAUGGAAAAAGAAAGGCGGCAGAUUCCUCUUCCUGUGUGUGCACCACCGAAUAUAACCCUGCAGUCUGGUGUUGAAUGGGACAAUGGCAUUAUAUACGCAUGGCUGGUGUGUUCAGUGCAGAGCCAGACCCCAGCAGCGGCCAUCACCUGGGCUGUAGAGCGCCAUGUCAUUGAUAUUAGCUCUAGUGAAUUUAUAAUGACUCAACCUGUGUUUCAGGAGAGUCAUAUGGUUGUUGCUCAGAGCACGGCGCGUAUUCCUAUUUACUCACAUGCCGGAUGCAGCGUGACCUGUGUGGUUGAGCAUCGAGGGUUAGAGAAACCAGAGAACAAAAGCAUUGUCCUCCCAUCCUUAGGGCCAUCUGCAAGCCGCGCAUUUCUGGGUGAAGAGAGAUACACUCAGAUUUGGCAUGCUGUGUGUGAGUACAGCGGUGAUGGGGUGGAACCCAACAUCUCCUGGGUCCUUCCUGAUGAAGACACUGUAACUCAGCCGACUACUGAGGUCAAAUAUAAUGGAAUUAAAGUAGAAGUCAAUUCAACUCAUGAAUUUCAACUCAGUCAGUAUGAGGGGAAAGAUUUAAUAUGUCUGAUCCAGAACAAGCUCGGCAGGGAUGAGAGACGGACAAUACGAGUUCCAAAAUACUCUAUCUCAUCUAUUGAGGUUUUAAACGAAACCACACUUGAUCGUAGAAGUCAUGGCCAGAAUGAGCAUCGUUUAGCAUUGCAAGAAAACCUCUCAAAUCAGAAGAUACUUCUCAGAGCCCAUGGCAAUGCUCCAUCAUACAAGACCAUAUGUUACAGGGAGGACGGGUCAGCAGCUGACACCGUGGGCAUGGCAUUGGUUUUUACAGAACCAGUGUCUGAACUGGAUGCAGGACUGUACAUAUGCCACGUCUCGUACCACCACCACAUGGCUAAAGUUUUCAUUCGGGUGGAUGUAACUAGUGAAGAGACUCAACACAUGAUAUUCAUCACUAUUUGCUUCUCGUCAGCCGCUGCAAUCACCCUCAUCUUGAUUAUCAUUUUGGUUGUCCUCUGGUGAGUAGACUCGCUUUCUAACAAACUAGGUAAAAUUCUGCUGUUUUCUUUUUGGAUAUUACCAGACAGGUGAGAACAGUGGAGGCAAACAGGAAGCAAGGUAGCUUACCUAGACCAAUGACAUGCACAGUGUUCAUAAACAGGAUACAUGGUGGCAUGCACAGACUGGCAGAACAAGACCACA
rnacentral:lncRNA from 1 species